rnacentral:lncRNA from 1 species
AUGCCAUAGAUUCAGUUAAAUAUCAAACUGGAUAGAGCUUUAGCUUUCUUCACCGCCAGGCUUCAAUCCGCUCCAUCCUUGAAUCUAUGCGACUCAGAUUGCUGAUACCCCUAUUCUUCUCAACAGUCCCUGUUCCCCAUACCACAGGCUGGUGAUCACUUGUGCUUUUAGGCCCCAUUUUGAAAUUUGAGAUACUCGAUUCACCAGGUUUGUUCUUUGCAGAUUCGCCUUGAAUUUCCGCUGUUACGCUGUCAACUUGCGCAGCAGUAUCACAACACCCAUCGCCAUCAACCAAGCUUAUCGAACUGCUAGCCUCUCUAUUGGUUAGGUUAUUGACAUGAUUAGAGUUAGAUGAACUUCCCAGUAUAGGUUCUUCAGUAAUCAACGAUUGCUCUUUCUCUUCAUUAUCUUUGCCAGUAUCUUCCCUGCAGGACUGUGAAGGGCUCUGGUGUCCAUGCUCAUCAGAAGGUUCUUCAUAGCACACAGGAGGCUCUACCACAGCAUCCUUCCUUUCUCGCAGUGUCUUCAAAAUAAGCGUUUUGAGGAAGUUCAUCACUUGGACUGCGUACAUCAACGCAGUCAAAGGAUCUGCCAUCUGAACCCAAAAAAAGAGUCAAAAUAUGGCAAUGAUAGCAAACGUAGUCAGAAAUCAUUUAAUGAUUUUUCUAUGGUUGGAAACUUCAAGGUUCCAAACCAGAGGGGGUGGGAGGUGCCCCACUGAUGCUGUAGCCUGUAUCCCUUUUUAUGUAAUAUAGUACAAAAUUUAGUAUACAGCAUAUGACAUGCAGCUUCAACCAUUGAACAAAAGGAAAAUGAGACCUUCACUGGAAAUUAAAA